rnacentral:ncRNA from 2 species
UUGUGGCGUCGCAACUGGCGUUUGGGUGGCUAACCACCAGGGAGCGGCAUUCACGAAGACCACGGAUCGUACGCCUGGGCCGAGGGU